rnacentral:lncRNA from 1 species
AAUAUCUGACUUUUCUCUCUCUCUCUCUCUCUCUCUCUCUCUCGCGGCUGAACUCCCCCUCCCCGUUUUGAAUUUUUCGCCGGAAUUUCAGACGGCGAGAACUUCGCCGUCCGACCUCCGUUUGAGGCGCCGUUUCUUGCAAAAGCUUCAUCUCUUCCUCCUCUACCCAGCCCACCCCUUUUCUCCGAUCGAAAACCCGGCAAGCGGCGGUGGCGACGACGUGAAAACCAGCUGAAACUGCCGACGUCGCCGGCGACGUUUCCGGCCAUCUCGAGCUGCGCCGUCACUUGGAACAGGUAGCUCUCCUUCCCUUCUAGCUAUUUCCUGGGUUGCGCGACGACCAUGUCGACGGUGGUUGCCGGAUCGAAGCCGUGAAGUUCCGGGUUAAAACCGUGAGUUUCCGACGCCGAUUCCGACCACUUGCCGUCCGAAUUGGACCUUGGUGUAGUUGAAUAAAGUGUUCCACUCGUCGAGUAGAAUCUGUAGCCGGAAGGGUGAGCUCGGGUGUGGAGUUUUUCCGUCGCCGAAAAUUACUCUACACACCCACGCGCUGCCGGCGCGUGUGGCGGCGCGUGGGCGAGGCUGGUGAGGCUGCAAAUUAACCCGAUGAGAUCCUUAGGUUGUCACGAGCGCAUAGGAUUUUGCGGAUCUCAAUUCGGAUGUCGUUUGACUAUCGAACGGAUUUUCGCAUAUUGUGCGUUAUCCGGGUUCGAUAGGUUCCGACCGUUAGAUCCUUCCCGAAUUAAAAUAUGUUGUUCUAGGUAUUCCUAGGAUCGUAUAGGACUUCACGGAUUGUGAAUCGGAACCCCGGAUGUUCCGAUUCAAUAACUUAAAGUUUGUGUUUUAUAUUAACCGUCCGAUUGUGCGAUCGUAAGCGAUCUAACCGUCCGUUUCGGACCAAACUUGCGAGACGGGUAUCUUAGACCUUGGGGAACCUUUAGGAACUUUCGGAUUGUAAAAUGGAGAUCGUGGGUCCCGUGGGCCCGGUUGACCCGAAUUGGGAAGUUUGACCGUCGGUUGACCGAGUGUCUCCCGAAGCUGUUCCAUCGUCCAAAUUGGGUAGUUGGACCUUAGAACGUCGCGUUCCUAGUACACUUACUAAGAACCUGGGAAAUUAGGAUGUUUAAUUCAAAGUACUCGUUCGAAACGCUUCGUAUUAAUCUCGUGUACGUAUUCUGAAUUAGGCACUCCGACCACGCAUACGCAGCAGGCGGGACCCUCUCAGGGUCAAGCAGCGUGGGACUACUUGUGAGUGGACUUUGUUUUCAAAUCUUAUGCAUGGUUUUAUUAAUGAAAGAUUUAUGCAUAAUGUUUUAACGAUUUAUUGAAUAUAUUAUAUUUAUGGGUUGAAUUUGAUGUUUGUUUAGCGCUUUGGCAUAGUUGGAUAUUGAAAGUAUAUUUAUAUGGAUUUUGAGAAAUAUUAUGCAUGAUGUUUUAAAUGGUAUUUUUGGAUAUAUUAUUUAUUCAGUUGUUGAAAGGGAUAUUUUUAUGAGGCAUUGAAAAUAUAUUUUGGGUUUUAACAUAUUUGAGUAUCUUGAGUAUGAAUAUAUGGAUUUGAGGAUUUCUAUAUAUAUUUGGUUAUGUGCGAGGUACUUGGGUUGUUGAGAUGAGAUUGUGGAAAGUGGUGAGUAUAGAAUGUCAGUUUGGUGUGCUAUAAGCACUACCCUAUGUACCUCCCCUGAUUUGGAACUUGGAUACGGAUACUUGAGAUACUUGGAGGAAUCGGAACCCGGGGCAUCCUUGACGGGAUGUUGCUGUAGACCCUUGAUUGGGUAGUCUGCGCGCGUAGGACUGAUCACAGACGUACGGGGUUUGAGGUUAUCGACGGUACGUGCUGGCUGA